rnacentral:rRNA from 1 species
AUUGAACGCUGGCGGCACGCUUAACACAUGCAAGUCGAACGGCAGCACGGUAUGUAGUGAUACAUAUGGGUGGCGAGUGGUGGACGGGUGAGUAAUGCGUAGGAAUCUGCCCUAGAGACUGGGAUAACUUAGGGAAACUUAAGCUAAUACUGGAUGAGGCCUGAGAGGGUCAAAGGGUUGCGUAAGCAGCCGCUCUAGGAUGAGCCUACGUUAGAUUAGCUAGUUGGUGGGGUAAAGGCCUACCAAGGCGAUGAUCUAUAGCUGUUCUGAGAGGAAGAUCAGCCACACUGGGACUGAGACACGGCCCAGACUCCUACGGGAGGCAGCAGUGGGGAAUCUUGGACAAUGGGGGCAACCCUGAUCCAGCGAUGCCGCGUGUGUGAAGAAGGCCUUCGGGUUGUAAAGCACUUUAGUUGGGGAGGAGGAGAGUGGAUUGAAUAGGUUCACUUGAGGACGUUACCCAAAGAAUAAGCACCGGCUAACUCUGUGCCAGCAGCCGCAGUAA